GACGAACGCUGGCGGCGUGCUUAACACAUGCAAGUCGAACGGUGAAAGGGAGCUUGCUCCCUGGAUCAGUGGCGAACGGGUGAGUAACACGUGGGCAACCUGCCCCAGACUUCGGGAUAACGCUUCGAAAGAGGUGCUAAUACCGGAUACGAACUCCUUGGGCAUCCUUGGAGUUGGAAAGUUUUUCGGUCUGGGAUGGGCCCGCGGCCUAUCAGCUUGUUGGUGAGGUAACGGCUCACCAAGGCGACGACGGGUAGCCGGCCUGAGAGGGCGACCGGCCACACUGGACUGAGACACGGCCCAGACUCCUACGGGAGGCAGCAGUGGGGAAUAUUGCGCAAUGGGCGAAAGCCUGACGCAGCAACGCCGCGUGAGGGAUGACGGCCUUCGGGUUGUAAACCUCUUUCAGCAGGGAAGAAGCGAAAGUGACGGUACCUGCAGAAGAAGCACCGGCUAACUACGUGCCAGCCGCCGCCGUAA
rnacentral:rRNA from 1 species